rnacentral:misc_RNA from 1 species
CAGACUUGGUGAAGUGGUCGUU